GAUCCGGCUCAGGACGAACGCUGGCGGCGUGCCUAAUACAUGCAAGUAGAACGCUGAAGGAGGAGCUUGCUUCUCUGGAUGAGUUGCGAACGGGUGAGUAACGCGUAGGUAACCUGCCUGGUAGCGGGGGAUAACUAUUGGAAACGAUAGCUAAUACCGCAUAAGAGUAGAUGUUGCAUGACAUUUGCUUAAAAGGUGCAAUUGCAUCACUACCAGAUGGACCUGCGUUG
rnacentral:rRNA from 1 species